CCGCCCCCAGAGGGUUUUAGCUGCCUCCAGAAGAAAGAAUUUCACUUGAGACACGGCAAGUGCUGGUAGACUCGAGUCUUCCCCCCAACAGCAGCCAUCUGCCCACUCUCCUGACAAGAGUGAAGGAUAGAGGGUCUCCCCAGUGUUACAGGGGGAGGGAUGUGCUUUAUUAAUGAGGAGACCAGGGCCCCGAGAGGCUCAGACUUCAGUCACAUGACUGGAAGGGGCUCCCCCAGGGGCUGCCGUCCCUCGCCGUCAUGUCGCUGCACAUGGUGGACGGCAGCUUUGCUUGCUAUGGCAUCGGCCCCCAUGGGGUGGGUGCCAGCCCCUGCCCUCUGCCACGUGCAAGGUGGCCCUCGGUGAAGCUGGGAAGGUCUGCUCAGGCUGCAGACCCAAGAGGUGAGUUGUGAGCGGCAACUGCAUUCCCCAGGCGCCAGCUCUCGAGGGCAGUCUCGGGGAUGGUGGCCAGCCCUUCCUCCCAGGACCCUGCUCCAAGCGUUCAUCCUCAGGAUGCUGAUUUUGUCCAGCAAACAGCAGGGUGGGCCCAGCAGCGGGGGUCCUGAUGGUCUUAGUGGGAGUUUGCAUUUUUAGGAGGGUCAGGCCAAGUCAUGCCAGAGCCCCAGGACAGAAAGCGCUCAUGCAAGCUGAGCACCCCCACCCAUGAAGCUGUGACCCCUCAGGCAAAGGCGGGGCACCAGGGCCACGAGGGGGUGAAGAAAAAACAGACACGUCCACUCAGCUGCUCUUCUGCUCUCCUCUUCCGAAACCGGGAAAUAAAGCCACUCCCUGGUCCUUUUUCCUGAGGCCAAAUGGGGCCACACUUUGCUCCUACCUGGUAGUGGGAGAUCGCUUUGUCCUCUCACAAUGGACAGCGUCAAAAAAGGCUGCAUUCCAGAACCUCAGAGUGUGCCUGCAAGACAGAGCCCCAAUCACACUCUCUCCAAGGGGAGGCGGGGAGGACACGGGUUGUGGGCCCCUUGAGGGAUAAACAAGGGCAGUGUCUCACAUCUGUCUGAGCUUCUAAGAAGUCUCAGAGAGAAAAGUUUGCCAAGUGACAAUGAAAAGACAGCAGCCAAGUCAAGGACAGAGGAGCUGAGCUGAAUCACCAGACGGCGGGACAAAGCGGGCCAGCUUCUCCCCAUCCUCUGCUUCCAUGGGAACCGGGUCCAGCCUCCUCAAGGGCCUUCCUGACAGCUCCAGCCCUGCCCUCUGCCCUCUGGGUCCCGGCAGCACUCCCUGGCCAAGCUCCUCAAGUAACCCUUGCUUGGUUAACGGGCAAAAUGCACCACAGACAACUGUGAUCUUCAGGGGAGGGAGGGCCUGUCUGACGCUGAUUCCAGGUGCUAGCAAAGCACUCUAAAAUAUGUCGAGGAGAGGCUUCAGAGAGAUUAACGCAGCACGACCAUCAUCUGCGGAGCCGGGCCAUAUGCCAGGGUGGCCGAGAUUUCCCCUGCAACACUGGUCUCACACUUCAACCAUGACCUCCAUUCACGUAUAUAUAAGUAAGAGCUUAAUUAGGAUAUAAUUCACAUGCCAUGAAAUUCACCCUCUAAAACAUACAAUUCAGUGAUUUUUAGUGUAUUCACAGAGUUGUGCAGCCACCACCAUUUCCAGAACAUUCUCUCACCCCACAAAGAAGCCCCAUCCCCAUCAGCAGUCACGCCCCGCUCCCCAUUCCCCACCCUCUGCCCGGGCAAUCAGUCAUCUGCUGUGUCUCUAGGAAUCUGCAGUUCUGGACAUUUCACAGGGAUGAUACAAUACUUGGGCUUCUGUGUCUGGCUUCUUCCACUGAGUUUCACGAUGUUUCCCAGGUCUAUCCCCGCUGCAGCGUGGAGUAGCAUGCCAUUGCUUUUCAUGGCUGGCUAAUAGUCCAUGCAACGGAUGGACCACAUUUUGUUUACCCAUUCAUCACUGGACAGCCAUGAAGGUGGUUUCCACCUCGGGGCCAUAAUAAACGACGUUGCUACAGACAUUUGUGUACAAGGUUUUGUGAGGACAUGUUUUUCUCUUGGGCGACUCCUAGGAGUGGAGCUGCUGGGUCACAGGGUGACUCUGUGUUUCACCUUUAAAGGAACUGCCAGACUGUUCCUCAGCGGCUGCUCCAUUUACAUUGCUCCUAGCCAUACAGGAGAUCUCCAGUUUCUCCACAUCCUCACCAACGCCUGUGAGUGUUCAUCUUUUUAUUCUGCCCCCCUGGUGGGUGUGAGAAUUCUGCCAUUCUGAUGGGGACAAAGGCAGCUAGAAGUGAUCCCGGGGAGUGACUGCUGUCCCCAUCAGUAAGAGGGUGAUGGGAAGCCACGGGCUCGGCCUUACCAGAUGGGCUGUUGCUUCAGGGGCCCCUUCAGCUUGGUCUCCAGCCCCCCGAAGAAGCCCUUGACAUUCUCA
rnacentral:lncRNA from 1 species